GACGGCGACGCGAGGCCACGGUGGGGGAAAUCCGAGGCUCCGGCUGGGAAACCAUGGGGAGAUGCAAUGGGAGAUGUACGCUGGUCGGAUUCUGCUGCCUGCAGCUGGGGAAGAACUGAAUCGGCGCGAGCUCCCGGGCUGGGAGAGCAGCUCCUGCUCACACCCGGAGAAACUUUGCGCUGCAGAUUGAGGUAGCGGCACUGGAGAGGCAGAUCUUUGAUUUCCUGGGCUACCAGUGGGCACCCAUCCUGGCUAAUUUUUUACACAUCAUGGCCGUUAUUUUGGGUAUUUUUGGGACCAUCCAGUACAGAUCCAAAUACCUCAUGAUGUACGCGGUGUGGCUGGUGCUGUGGGUCGGCUGGAACGCCUUCAUCAUCUGCUUCUACCUGGAGGUCGGACGUUUGUCGCAGGACCGAGACUUCAUCAUGACCUUCAAUACCUCACUGCACCGCUCAUGGUGGAUGGAGAAUGGGCCGGGCUGCCUGGUGACGCCGGUGAUGAACUCCAACCUGGCACCCGAGGACCAUCACGUCAUCACUGUCAGCGGCUGCCUGCUUGACUACCAGUACAUCGAGGUAGUGAGCAGUGCCACGCAGAUAUUCCUGGCGCUCUUUGGCUUUGUCUACGCCUGCUAUGUCAGCAAAGUGUUCCUGGAGGAAGAAGACAGCUGUAAGUGCUUCUUGCUCUCAGUCACGGGGAGGGGAGAACCACAGCACUGCAAAAUGGCCUCAGCUGAUGCCAGCCAGCACCUUGCCAAGGUGGCAGCUCCCGGCUGGUGAUGGGGGAGCAAUGCCUGGGUCGCAGGCAGGUGAAGAGAUCCCUUUAGUUGGGUUUUUUCCCAUUUUUCCAUGCCCAAUGAGGCAAAUGUGCUGGGGUGUGAUGCACUACGCCAUGCCACCAGCAGUUCCCCCCCUCCCAGCCUCAGGGAGGGUGCUGCACCCUGGCCAGGGCUGGGAGAGGAGGGGGACGGGGACACUGAGCCCUGAGCUGCUGCAUCUUCCACAGGACUGCAGCACUCACAGCCUUCGGGUGCAGGAACGGGACAGUUUCAUGCAACGCGUAGGGUCAGGCUUUGUCCCCACACCAGCCCAUGACGAGGCUGAGAUGGUCCCCGGUCCCCGGUCCCUGGUCUCCACACCAGCAUUGCGGCACUGAGUCCAGCUCCCAUUGAAGCCGGGAUGUUCAUCCCCGUGCGCGGCCGCUCAGGGGCAGAUUUGGGGCCGGCAUCGCUCUUGCUGCUCCCCACUGACCCAAAUUCAGAGCAUCUCCUCCGGGACAGAACAUCUCCCCCCAGGUCCCUGGUCUGGUGUGGCAGCGGGGAGAAUUGCCCUUGCUGUAAAGAGCCACUUCUGAUAAAUUCAUGGCGAAUGCUCCUCCUGGUGCGGAUCCAGGCCCAUGGGGGCUGCAGGAGAGGAGCCGUCCUCCCUGCUCACGGCCCCCAGAACCAGCCAUCACCUGCCUUCUCCUUUCGACAGCCACCUGGAGCUUGGGGACAAUGAAAUGGGAAAUAUUAUGAUCCCCCGGCCGGCAUCCCCACAGACAGUGGGGAGGUAGAGCCCUCCUCUACACCUUGAGGUUUUUCACCCCAAAGCAGGGGGAAACCCAGCAAUUUAAGCAAAGUUACAGGCUAAUUUUUAUACAAUCUAUAUUGUGCUUUCCGAUCUGACAACGAUCCCUGCAAACACCCCUCCGGAAGCGCUGAGCACCCCAGCCCCAAUUAACCAGGUGGUUAAGGCUGUAGCCAUCCAACCGCAUUAAAUGCUCAUCUGCCAUUAAUUAAUUCGCACCAGCUGGCAGCUCCCAGCAGCCGACCGCAGGCAGGGAUGUGCCGCAACCGCCAGCGCGGCAAAAGCCACCCAGAUGCGCUCAGCAUUGGGCACAGCAUCGGGAUCAGCAUCGGUGCCGGUGCCAUCGACCCAGAAAUGGGCCCAGCCCAGCCCAGGAGAUGCCCAGGUUCAGCAUCCCCGUGUUUUCCCCCCUCUGCCACUGGGAACCGGUGUAGCGGAAAAGGAAAAUCUCCGUGUGAAAUUGGACACUGCCUGCGGUAAUAACUUGUUUCUAUACCCGGGGAGCUGGCAAAAGGGUUUAUCUACCGCCGCCGGCUUUGAAGCGCGUUUGCAUUCAAACAAACUCUCACAUUCAAUACACUUUUAAUAUUAAUGCUGCUGCAUCCUAAGAUUCAAAUGCAUCUUUUUUAAUGGAAUAUCUUAUUAGAUUUGGAAAUGGAUGGAUGGCGUCAAAAUUGAGAGCUGGCUGAAUAUUAAGUCGGGAAGAUAAAUAUCCUGGGAGAACUGGGCUCCCCCCUCGAGCUUGCUGCUCUUUCUUGGACACCUGUGUGCAAACCCACCCGGAUCACGGCUCCGUGGGGAUUAAUAGAUUGGUUUUGGGGAGAUGGGUCGUGAUAUAGCGCCUGUAACAGCUUGGAUACCCCAACCUGGCCGUGCAUGGUGCCUGUUCCUGGGCUGGCUGAGCAGCCGCUGGUUGUGCCCAUGGGAGGGUUCGGGGCUGGGGGCACGUAGGAAGAUCACGGAAAAAGUUGGGGCACCCUCAGCCACCCAUUGCUCCCACUGCAUCGAGCCGGGGUGAAGGGCUGGGGUCUGCCGCCACGAUCCCUCUGGUGAGUGCCCUGGGGGCUCGUUGGGUGGGUGAUGGGCUCUGCUGGCCGGAGAGGACGAGCCGGCCUGGAAAUCACAGCUGUGAAAACUGAUAUAUUGUUGUCUGCAAUUCCGCUAAAUGACAGGCUUUAAACGAGAUGUAAUUCCCCCAUAAUUCUCCUUAAAUGCCCACUCUGGAGACAAUGAUGGGAUAAUUUUACCCACUUUGUCCAGCCUGAAGGCAAGGGCUGUUGUGGUGGUGAGAAGAAAGCCACAGGGAUCUCUGCAAGUUGGUCCAGCUCUUUUCCCUGGUUUCUCGCUGGCACUUUCCUGGGAUGCUGCCAUGACCUGGGAUGUUGCAGCGCUCCAGGAUGCUGCGGUGACCCAGGAUGCUGCGGUGACCCAGGAUGCUGUGCCUCCCUGGGAUGCUGCAUUUCACUGUGAUGCUGCUAUGACCCCAGAUGCUGCCAUGACCUGGGAUACAGCACUUCCCCAAGAUGCUGUGGUGACCUGGGAUGCUGCGAUGACCCAGGAUGUUGUGGUAUCCUGGAAUGUUGCAGCAGCUUAGGAUACUGAACUUCCCUGGGAUGCUGCACUUUCCUGGGAUGCUGUUGGGACCUGAGAUGCUGUGGUGACCUGGGAUGCUGCAUGUCCCCAGGAUGCUGUGGUGACCGGGAUGCUGUGGUGACCCAGGAUGCUAUUGCAUACUGAGAUGUUGCAUUUCCCUGGGAUGCUGCGCUUGCCUGGGUUGCUGUGGUGACCUGGGAUGCUGCGCUUCCCUGGGAUGAAGCUGCAAACUGUGAUGCUGCACUUCCCUGGGAUGCUGCGGCAACUUGGGAUGCUGCACCUCUCCAAGAUGCUGCUGCAACCCAGGAUGCUGCAUGACCCAUGGGUGCCAUCGGGUUGGGGGGAGGCAGGGCAAUUGCCCCACUGCCCUCCCCAGCUCACCUUGCUGCUCUCCCCCCUCUCCCCAGUCGACUUCAUCGGCGGGUUUGACUCCUACGGCUACCAGGCGCCACAGAAGACAUCACACCUACAGCUACAGCCGCUCUACACAUCCGGGUAACCUCCUCCUGCCCUGGAUCCGGCCCCGGCCCGGCGUGGGAGCCAGAGGCGACAGGACCCCCCCUAGAGCAAACUGUCCCACACCCGACGACCCCGGCGAGGGGGGGGGACACAACGCCGAGCUGCCCGGUCCCCUCCUGCCUCCCCGCACCCCCACAAGACCCCCAAAAACGGAGCCGGGAGCUGCACAUCCAUCCCACCCUGGAAGCCUCUGAGCCCAAACCACCCACCCACAGCAGGAUCGGGGGGGGGGCUGGAUAUGGGGGGACCCCCCCAAGCCGUGCCACCCCCUCGGGCUCCCACAGCCUCCCCAGGAUGGGGACAUGCGGGGAGGUGGCAUUGCUCACUGGACACCGUUUUCUUCUGUUUCUCCUAGCCUGGUUUUUCCUUGGAGCAGCAGGGCCCUUCCCGGCGUGCCGGGCAGGAGGGGGGCCCAGAGUGGGAUUGGGGCAAAAACCAGCUGGUUUGGAGCAAACUAGGACCAGGGGUGAGGGAUAAACACAGCUUUGGGGACAGCGGGGCACAAAGAGCAGCUUCGUCCUCUGCGGGGUUGGGACAAUUUCCUGAAACGCUGGGUUGGGAGUUGGGCUGGCCCCAAAAAUGGGGUUUUUGCUCCCAAAUGGAAUUUUCCAGCCCCCCUGGUUGGAUGAAACAGCGUCGAAGGGGCUCAGUCCUGGAUGCUCCCUUCACCCUGAGGAGCCGGAUCUGGCCAUCAGCAUCCUGCCUCGACCCCCCCCCCCACCGCCAAAACCUCGGGAUGGGGGGGAGGGACAGAGCACCCCAAAAUCCCCCUGCAAGCCACCCCAUCCCUGCCACAUUUUGGGGGGCGUCUUGCUCAAAUUUGGCAAUACUGACGCUGCUUUCAACACAGCCCCUUUUUGGCUGUUUUAACAAAUCUAGUGAAUGUUUUGGGUUAGGUUUUUAUUUUUAUUUUUAAUUAUUGGGUUGGGGUUUUGUUUGUUUGGUUUUUUUUUAAUUUAAAGUGCCUGAGUAGAUUCUGGCUGAGCACGACCCCCCCGGCGAGCCCAUGCCGGGCCCCCCCAAGGUCGACAUCGUGCCUUCAGCAAUGCUCUGCCCACCUUGGGGCUGCUCCAGUGGCCCCCGGCCCCUCGCCCAGGGCUGCGGGGGGGGCAGCUCAGUGCCUCUCUGACCCCCCCCCGGCCCCUCCAUCCUUUCAGGGUCUUGGUGGCAAAUCCAUCCAUCACGUUCAGCGGCAGAAGAGGGGUGACAUCGGCAUGUGGGGAAUGAUUAUUUUUGGGGGGGGAAUGUGCAAGGUCUAUUGGGCAGCGAUCACUUUGCAAAAUGAUGAUGAGCUGGGAAUUAAAAGCCUCGGAAGAAGCUGGAAGGAAAAAAGUUGUUUCACGAAGCAUCCCAGCUCCCCCCAACCUCGUUGUUCUCUUUCUUUUCCUGGAGGUGGGAUGCGGUUUCUCCUGGAUCACUGGAUCUGGCCCCAAGCCCACCCUUUGCAUCUGGGAGCCGGGGGGUUCACAUGAAUUUUGCCUCCCAGGUGUUUUUUCUCCAGUCCUGGGGGUUCUUUGGGGAUUUUUUUUUUGCACCCUGGAGUGAUUCUUUUUGUCCUUCCCAACAAGCAGCCGUGAAGUGCCAACGACCGAAGGUGCCCGAGCCCAAACCCUGGGCAGGGGACAGGCUGCAUCCCCCCGCCAGCCCCUCCGCUGCCUCCAGCCAAGCUGCGAACUUUACAGGCAAUAAUUUUUCCACCCUUUCCCCCUCUUUUUUCCAAGGAAAAUAGUGUUUUUCAGGCAACAGAUCCCCCAUUUCCCCCGAAACACAUCCCCAUCCCCAAGUGCUGCCCAGCCCCAGGGGCAGCAGCAUCUCCAGGGUUUAUUUUCCUCUCCAGGACCAAGGAUGCUCUUGCUGACCUGCCGUGGGAUGGGAUGGGAUGGGAUGGGAUGGGAUGGGAUGGGAUGGGAUGGGAUGGGAUGGGAUGGGAUGGGCAGACACCCACCUGCUCAAAACCCUUCUCAAACCUAGCAGGAAGCAGAAAGAAAACCUUGCCGUCAUUUAAAACUCAUUCAAAAGAGUUUCCCUCCCUCCUGAGCUCGGCAGGAGCCAGGCACCGGCGCUCCGCGACCUUUUUUUUUUUUCUUUUCCAUUGGCUUGUUUUUAUAUAAGACUGUAUUUGUAACGUGAACCGAGGAUUUCUUUUCUAUUCUGUAAUUAUAAAAGUCGAAGGAAAGUUUCA